AGUGAACGCUGGCGGUAGGCCUAACACAUGCAAGUCGAACGGCAGCACAGUAAGAGCUUGCUCUUAUGGGUGGCGAGUGGCGGACGGGUGAGGAAUACAUCGGACUCUACUUUUUCGUGGGGGAUAACGUAGGGAAACUUACGCUAAUACCGCAUACUACCUACGGGUGAAAGCAGGGGAUCUUCGGACCUUGCGCGAUUGAAUGAGCCGAUGUCCGAUUAGCUUGUUUGAGGGGUAAAGGCCCACCAAGGCGACGGUCCGUAGCUGGUCUGAGAGGAUGAUCAGCCACACUGGAACUGAGACACGGUCCAGACUCCUACGGGAGGCAGCAGUGGGGAAUAUUGGACAAUGGGCGCAAGCCUGCUCCAGCCAUACCGCGUGGGUGAAGAAGGCCUUCGGGUUGUAAAGCCCUUUUGUUGGGAAAGAAAAGCAGCAGGUUAAUACCCCGCUGUUCUGACGGUACCCAAAGAAUAAGCACCGGCUAACUUCGUG
rnacentral:rRNA from 1 species